UGGGGAAUAUUGCACAAUGGGCGCAAGCCUGAUGCAGCCAUGCCGCGUGUGUGAAGAAGGCCUUCGGGUUGUAAAGCACUUUCAGCGGGGAGGAAGGCGAUAAGGUUAAUAACCUCAUCGAUUGACGUUACCCGCAGAAGAAGCACCGGCUAACUCCGUGCCAGCAGCCGCGGUAAUACGGAGGGUGCAAGCGUAAAUCGGAAUUACUGGGCGUAAAGCGCACGCAGGCGGUCUGUCAAGUCGGAUGUGAAAUCCCCGGGCUCAACCUGGGAACUGCAUUCGAAACUGGCAGGCUAGAGUCUUGUAGAGGGGGGUAGAAUUCCAGGUGUAGCGGUGAAAUGCGUAGAGAUCUGGAGGAAUACCGGUGGCGAAGGCGGCCCCCUGGACAAAGACUGACGCUCAGGUGCGAAAGCGUGGGGAGCAAACAGG
rnacentral:rRNA from 1 species